rnacentral:tRNA from 3 species
GCGGGCGUAAUUCAAUGGCAGAAUAGGAGCUUCCCAUGCUUCUUACGAGGGUUCGAUUCCCUUCGCCCGCUCCA